UCAAUUUCAUUCAGUGAACCUUUUUUUUUCCAAUAGGGAUCACAGUGACGUUCAAAUAUGAAUAACACAGUUCUCGCACCGCUCACUGUGGGUUUAGAAGUUGACAGUGACAUUUGUGUAUGCAUCGCAAUAUAUUAUUUUAUACAGAAGAAAUUUAUCGUUAAAUAUAGAGUCAAAACUCUUUUGCGUCGACUCCAGUAUAGUUUUUUUUUCAAGCAAUAAAAAUACAGGCAAAAAUGUCUGAGGGUGAAGCAUCAACAUCAUAUGAGCGUAAAUACGUCAAACCGGUGCCAUCUGUCGAAUCGAUGCGGGAUAUGGCUCUUUGGAAGAAAUCAAACGCUUAUUAUGAUAUCAUUAGUUUCAUCAGCAUGAUAAAUGAGGCAGUUCAAGGAAAGAAAUUGAGCACAAAAUUGAUACCGUCACCAAUUGCAGAUAAUUUACUACAUAUCUUCGAUGCUUUGAAUAAAAUGAUAGAUGAAACACCACAAACACUCGGCAACCAAGCCUAUCGUGAUUGGUUUGAAAAGAUGAGAAGUGACUCAACGGAAUUACUAAAAAAAGAAUUACCAGUGAUACCUCAUCAUGCACUCAUUGAAGUCAGCAAAUAUUUUAUUGAAUCAUUUGGUAAUGCGACACGAAUUGACUAUGGACCCAGUCAUGAAUUGGCAUUCAUCAUGUUUUUGUGUGCACUUUAUAAAAUCCAUGUAUUGGACGAAAGUGAUAAUUUAUGUGUUGGAUUGAAAAUAUUCAAUGCAUAUUUACAAGUUGUACGUCGAUUGCAGUUAACAUAUAGCAUGGAAACCGCUGGUAGUCAUGGUGUUUCAAGCAUGUAUGACGAUCAAUACUUACCAUUUAUUUGGGGAAGCGCUCAGCUUUGUGCAAAGGAACCGUUCGAACCAAAUCGUUCGCUUGAAACCAAUGUCAUCAGGCGAUUCAAAAAUGAAUACUACGUCAUUGGAUGUAUUGAUCACUUUCGACAGGUGAAUACUGAUAGUUUUGCCGAAUAUUCAAAUCCGUUGUGGAGCACAAGCAGCGUUUAUUCGUGGGUAAAAAUAAAUUCCAUUCUCAUCGAGAAUUAUGAAAAAGAGUUGCUUGCAGAAUUCCCUGUGAUUCAACAUGUGCUGUUCGGAUCAAUUUUAGAAUUGAAGGAAAUUUCAGUGAUCGAUCAAAUCAAAAAAAUGAAAAUCGAAAUGAAAAACGAAAUGAAAAACGAAAUCAAAGGGAUGCAUCAGCAACUCAACAAACCGACAACGAUUUGGGAAAUGAUUUCAUCUCAAUUGGUAUGGCUCUUCAGCCUGGUAUGUUCUGGAUGGUUUUCAAACCAUACAGCGCUUAUUCUUUGGUUUGCAUGGUGUUUCAACUUUGCCAAAUCUUCUUCGAACAACUUAUCAAUACUCUCAUUGACCAAAUCUUCAUUAUAACGCAAGGAAUCUGUAUCAUUGUACCAUCUCCAAUUUUGACCAGACUUAUCACCGUGGACUCCACCUAACACAUAUACGUCGUGUCGCCGUUGUUGAUUGACUAUUUCGGUGACAGCUGUCAUAAUUUGAUCUUCGCUUACUGGUGUAUUAAAUAGAUGGACAACAAUUUCAAACAAGGUUUCGAAACUUAUUUCUGGAAGCAAACAUUAGAAACCAAACCAUACAAAGGUUUUUAUCAAAGGUUAAAUAUUUAUAUAAAUUUUGAUACUAGCGUAAAUAAAUCAAUAACCGCUCAGCUUCUGGAAAAUGUCGAUGGCACCAUUGCCAAUGCAUUGGAUCUUUUGCAACCACAUGCAGAAAAAUGGACGAAUUUUUUUCAAUAUUUUUUUCUUUACUUUUUUCGUAUUUUAUCACAUAUACUAUGCAAAGCUUUGCAAUUACUUUAUUAUCUAUGCAUAGAUUUGUGGAUUGUAGAAUGUAUUCAAAGGUGUUGGGAAUCCUGUGAAUAAUAUAGAGUUUAUCAAUAAAAUAGUAUAUCCGCAGAAAAAAAUUCAUUU